UACGAAGGUCCCGAGCGUUGUUCGGAAUCACUGGGCGUAAAGGGAGCGUAGGCGGCGCGGUAAGUCAGAUGUGAAAUCCCGGGGCUCAACCCCGGAACUGCAUCCGAUACUGCCGUGCUAGAGGAUUGGAGAGGUAGCUGGAAUUCUUGGUGUAGCAGUGAAAUGCGUGGAGAUCAAGAGGAACACUCGUGGCGAAAGCGAGCUACUGGACAAUAUCUGACGCUGAGGCUCGAAGGCCAGGGUAGCAAACGGG
rnacentral:rRNA from 1 species